rnacentral:rRNA from 1 species
GAUGAACGCUAGCGCCUGGCUUAACACAUGCAAGUCGAGGGGCGGCAUUGUAAUUACCUUGCUAAUUACAGAUGGCGACCGGCGCACGGGUGAGUAACGCAUAUGGAACCUGCCCUUUACAGGGGGAUAGCCCAUGGAAACGUGGAUUAAAAUCCCAUAAUACUUUGUUCAGGCAUCUGGAUGGAGUUAAAUCUACGGAGGUAAAGGAUGGCCAUGCGUCCUAUUAGCUGGUUGGCGGGGUAACGGCCCACCAAGGCGAUGAUAGGUAGGGGUUCUGAGAGGAAGGUCCCCCACAUUGGAACUGAGACACGGUCCAAACUCCUACGGGAGGCAGCAGUGAGGAAUAUUGGUCAAUGGCCGGAAGGCUGAACCAGCCAAGUCGCGUGAGGGAAGACUGCCCUAUGGGUUGUAAACCUCUUUUAUUCGGGAAGAAUAAGUUUCACGCGUGGAACGAUGCCUGUACCGAAUGAAUAAGCAUCGGCUAACUCCGUGCCAGCAGCCGCGGUAAUACGGAGGAUGCGAGCGUUAUCCGGAUUUAUUGGGUUUAAAGGGAGCGUAGGUGGACUGGUAAGUCAGUUGUGAAAGUUUGCGGCUCAACCGUAAAAUUGUAGUUGAUACUGUCAGUCUUGAGUACAGUAGAGGUGGGCGGAAUUCGUGGUGUAGCGGUGAAAUGCUUAGAUAUCACGAAGAACUCCGAUUGCGAAGGCAGCUCACUGGACUGCAACUGACACUGAUGCUCGAAAGUGUGGGUAUCAAACAGG